UGAUGAUGAGUGUAACGGCAAAAAGAGUUGAGAUAGGCCUAAAGAAGCUAGAGUGUAAUAAGAGAGUGUUCUCAUGCUGGAUUAGAUGUUGAAUCGAGUACUAGUUGUAUUUCUUUUGGCUAUGAGCUCCCACCUUCAAACCUCUCUCCCUAUGAGUUCUAGAAAGUUCAUUUGUGGACAAGUAAAAGAACAAGUUUGGGGGAGUUGAUAUCUUCCAUAUUUCCAUUAUCUUAUCUAUUCAUCCAUGUGCAUUUUGAUCAUAUAGACUAGGAUUUAGCCA
rnacentral:lncRNA from 1 species